rnacentral:rRNA from 1 species
GAGUUUGAUCAUGGCUCAGAGUGAACGCUGGCGGCAGGCCUAACACAUGCAAGUCGAACGGCAGCACAGAGGAGCUUGCUCCUUGGGUGGCGAGUGGCGGACGGGUGAGGAAUGCAUCGGAAUCUGCCUAUUUGUGGGGGAUAACGUAGGGAAACUUACGCUAAUACCGCAUACGUCCUACGGGAGAAAGUGGGGGACCUUCGGGCCUCACGCAGAUAGAUGAGCCGAUGCCGGAUUAGCUAGUUGGCGGGGUAAAGGCCCACCAAGGCGACGAUCCGUAGCUGGUCUGAGAGGAUGAUCAGCCACACUGGAACUGAGACACGGUCCAGACUCCUACGGGAGGCAGCAGUGGGGAAUAUUGGACAAUGGGCGCAAGCCUGAUCCAGCCAUGCCGCGUGAGUGAAGAAGGCCUCGGUUG